UCUUGACCAUCAUUUCAGGAGGAAUUGGCUUCCUUGCCUGUUUUACUCUUACUAGUGAUUCAAAAAACAAAAAAUUGAACAUGGCUACACCUGAAAAUGAACAUAGCACUUAGUCUUGAUGCAAUUUUUAAUUUUUGAAAAAAUUUUUAGGUGAUUCAGUCUGGACCAAAAAAUUAAGGAAAAAGUCUGCUGACACAGGAGGGAAAUGUGCCAGGCUGAUUUAGUAGGUUUUGGAGAAAGGAUUCAAGAAAAAAAGAUGAAGAAUCAUUCAUUCCUGAAACUACAGCUGACCUUAUGACUCCAGAGGAAAAAGAUAAACUCUUUCCUGCUAUUGGUUAUAGUGAGAACACUUUAACUUAACUUUACCCAAGCAGUAUGUUGCCCACAUAAUGACCCUGAAGUUAGUAAGCGCCUCUGUCACACUCAGAGAAAACAAAAAUAUUCCAGAAAUACUAAAAUUCAGAUAAUUGACCUGGGCACCCAUGUAUCUCAGCGACCAGGAGCACAAGCUCUAAGCUUCAGUUGCCUGAUACUGCAUUGCCCUUCUUUAAAACUGAGUUUGAAACCAAUCCAGAGGACAGUCCUGCCGACCAGACUCUCAUCAUUCAGUCUCAGCCUGUGGAGGUCAUUUAUGAUGCUCUAAGUGCAAGGAGAACAUGAGUCUAUUAAAAUGAUUUGUAUUUCUCUCUCUUUUUUUUUUUAUUUCCUAAAAGUUUCCCCAGUUAAUGUUGAGA
rnacentral:lncRNA from 1 species